rnacentral:rRNA from 1 species
ACAGGGAUUGCCCUAGUAACGGCGAGUGAAGCGGCAACAGCUCAAAUUUGAAAUCUGGCGUCUUUGGCGUCCGAGUUGUAAUUUGCAGAGGGCGCUUUGGCAUUGGCAGCGGUCCAAGUUCCUUGGAACAGGACGUCACAGAGGGUGAGAAUCCCGUACGUGGUCGCUAGCCUUUACCGUGUAAAGCCCCUUCGACGAGUCGAGUUGUUUGGGAAUGCAGCUCUAAAUGGGAGGUAAAUUUCUUCUAAAGCUAAAUACUGGCCAGAGACCGAUAGCGCACAAGUAGAGUGAUCGAAAGAUGAAAAGCACUUUGGAAAGAGAGUUAAAAAGCACGUGAAAUUGUUGAAAGGGAAGCGCUUGCAGCCAGACUUGCCUGUAGUUGCUCAUCCGGGUUUUUACCCGGUGCACUCUUCUACGGGCAGGCCAGCAUCAGUUUGGGCGGUUGGAUAAAGGUCUCUGUCAUGUACCUCCUCUCGGGGAGAUCUUAUAGGGGAGACGACAUGCAACCAGCCUGGACUGAGGUCCGCGCAUCUGCUAGGAUGCUGGCGUAAUGGCUGUAAGCGGCCCGUCUUGAAACACGGACCAAGGAGUCUAACAUCUAUGCGAGUGUUUGGGUGUCAAGCCCGAACGCGUAAUGAAAGNGAACGGAGGUGGGAACCUUUCGGGGUGCACCAUCGACCGAUCCUGAUGUCUUCGGAUGGAUUUGAGUAAGAGCAUAGCUGUUGGGACCCGAAAGAUGGUGAACUAUGCUUGAAUAGGGUGAAGCCAGAGGAAACUCUGGUGGAGGCUCGCAGCGGUUCUGACGUGCAAAUCGAUCGUCAAAUUUGGGCAUAGGGGCGAAAGACUAAUCGAACUAUCUAGUAGCUGGUUCCUGCCGAAGUUUCCCUCAGGAUAGCAGUAACGUUUUCAGUUUUAUGAGGUAAAGCGAAUGAUUAGAGGCCUGGGGGUUGAAACAACCUUCACCUAUUCUCAAACUUUAAAUAUGUAAGAAGUCCUUGUUACUUAAUUGAACGUGGACAGUUGAAUGUAUCGUUACUAGUGGGCCAUUUUUGGUAAGCAGAACUGGCGAUGCGGGAUGAACCGAACGCGGGG